UCAAGAGGCAAAAAGAAAAAGAAAAAAAAGAAAUGAACCACCUGGUACAGGAAAAACAUAUCUAGCAACAGCCCCAGUUGGGCCAGGGGAGGCUGAGAAGCCAUUGUGUGCGCUGCACUUCAUUCUUCCCCUGGAAGGAUUUAUGACCUCACACUGCCAUGACAUCACAAUGCGUUGCCAUGGGUCCCACUUUAUUAUCGUAAACAAAACGCUAUUCGUUGGGCCACUGCCUGUCUGAGCAGGAGGGGAAAAAAGGCUCUGGCCUCUGGACAAGGUUCAGGACAGGAACAAGAAGGAUGAAGUCAGCUCCCUGCAGGAGGAUCUCCAGCUCCGCGUGUUCUCACUGCCAAAUAGCAGCCUCCCCAGGCCGCCUUCACUGCUCCAAACAAGGUUUUUAUUCAUUCACCGAAAAUGCAUGGACUACCUACUAUGUGCUAGACACUGACAGAACUGGGGCAGGGAUCAAUGAAAAACAUGUCGCCAGCCCCACCCCUUUCAGAAUCUUUAAUACUUAACAAGCCCACAAAUAACAUGAA